GGCCAGUGUGGUAUAAUGGUUUGAGUGUUGAGCUAAGGCACUGGGAGGCCAAGGUUCGAAUCCUGGCUUGGCCA